AGUGAACGCUGGCGGUAGGCCUAACACAUGCAAGUCGAACGGCAGCACAGUAAGAGCUUGCUCUUACGGGUGGCGAGUGGCGGACGGGUGAGGAAUACAUCGGAAUCUACUUUUUCGUGGGGGAUAACGUAGGGAAACUUACGCUAAUACCGCAUACGACCUACGGGUGAAAGCAGGGGAUCUUCGGACCUUGCGCGAUUGAAUGAGCCGAUGUCGGAUUAGCUAGUUGGCGGGGUAAAGGCCCACCAAGGCGACGAUCCGUAGCUGGUCUGAGAGGAUGAUCAGCCACACUGGAACUGAGACACGGUCCAGACCCCUACGGGAGGCAGCAGUGGGGAAUAUUGGACAAUGGGCGCAAGCCUGAUCCAGCCAUACCGCGUGGGUGAAGAAGGCCUUCGGGUUGUAAAGCCCUUUUGUUGGGAAAGAAAAGCAGCAGGUUAAUACCCCGCUGUUCUGACGUUACCCAAAGAAUAAGCACCGGCUAACUUCGUG
rnacentral:rRNA from 1 species